GUUGAACGCUAGCUAUAGGCUUAACACAUGCAAGUCGAGGGACCGGCGCACGGUUCAGUAACGCGUAUCCAACCUACCCAUAACUAAGGGAUAACCCAGCGAAAGUUGGACUAAUACCUUAUGGUUAUGGAUGGAGUUGCGUCUGAUUAGCUUGUUGGCGGGGUAACGGCCCACCAAGGCAACGAUCAGGAGGGGUUCUGAGAGGAAGGCACCCUAGAUUGGAAAUGAGACACAGACUAAACUGGUACGGGGGGGAGGAGUAGAGAGUAUUAGUCAAGGGACGCAAGUCUGAACCAGCCAAGUGGCUGGCAGGAUGACGGCCUAGGGGAGGUAAACUGCUUUUAUAUGAGGAUAGGUACCAUAUGAAUAAGGACCGGCUAAUUCCGUGCCAGCAGCCGCGGUAAUAC
rnacentral:rRNA from 1 species